ACGGGUUUAGCUCAGUUGGUAGAGCACUGGUCUCCAAAACCAGGUGUCGAGAGUUCGAGUCCCUCAUCCCGUG
rnacentral:tRNA from 2 species